rnacentral:rRNA from 1 species
GCGGCGGCCUACACAUGCAAGUCGAGCGGUAGAGAGAAGCUUGCUUCUCUUGAGAGCGGCGGACGGGUGAGUAAUGCCUAGGAAUCUGCCUGGUAGUGGGGGAUAACGUUCGGAAACGGACGCUAAUACCGCAUACGUCCUACGGGAGAAAGCAGGGGACCUUCGGGCCUUGCGCUAUCAGAUGAGCCUAGGUCGGAUUAGCUAGUUGGUGAGGUAAUGGCUCACCAAGGCGACGAUCCGUAACUGGACUGAGAGGAUGAUCAGUCACACUGGAACUGAGACACGGUCCAGACUCCUAUGGGAGGCACCAGUGGGGAAUAUUGGACAUUGGGCGAAAGCCUGAUCCAGCCAUGCCGCGUGUGUGAAGAAGGUCUUCGGAUUGUAAAGCAUUUUAAGUUGGGAGGAAGGGUUGUAGAUUAAUACUCUGCAAUUUUGACGUUACCGACACAAUAAGCACCGGCUAACUCUGUGCCAGCAGCCGCGGUAAUACAGAGGGUGCAAGCGUUAAUCGGAAUUACUUUUCGUAAAGCGCGCGUAGGUGGUUUGUUAAGUUGGAUGUGAAAUCCCCGGGCUCAACCUGGGAACUGCUAUCAAAACUGACUGACUAGAGUAUGGUAGAGGGUGGUGGAAUUUCCUGUGUAGCGGUGAAUUGCGUAGUUUUAGGAAGGAACACCAGUGACGAAGGCGACCACCUGGACUAAUACUGACACUGAGGUGCGAAAGCGAGGGGAGCAAACAGGAUUAGAUCCCCUGGUAGUCCACGCCGUAAACGAUGUCAACUAGCCGUUGGAAGCCUUGAGCUUUUAGUGGCGCAGCUAACGCAUUAAGUUGACCGCCUGGGGAGUACGGCCGCAAGGUUAAAACUCAAAUGAAUUGACGGGGGCCCGCACAAGCGGUGGAGCAUGUGGUUUAAUUCGAAGCAACGCGAAGAACCUUACCAGACCUUGACAUCCAAAGAACUUUCUAGAGAUAGAUUGGUGCCUUCGGGAACAUUGAGACAGGUGCUGCAUGGCUGUCGUCAGCUCGUGUCGUGAGAUGUUGGGUUAAGUCCCGUAACGAGCGCAACCCUUGUCCUUAGUUACCAGCACGUUAUGGUGGGCACUCUAAGGAGACUGCCGGUGACAAACCGGAGGAAGGUGGGGAUGACGUCAUUUCAUCAUGGCCCUUACGGCCUGGGCUACACACGUGCUACAAUGGUCGGUACAGAGGGUUGCCAAGCCGCGAGGUGGAGCUAAUCCCAUAAAACCGAUCGUAGUCCGGAUCGCAGUCUGCAACUCGACUGCGUGAAGUCGGAAUCGCUAGUAAUCGCGAAUCAGAAUGUCGCGGUGAAUACGUUCCCGGGCCUUGUACACACCGCCCGUCACACCAUGGGAGUGGGUUGCACCAGAAGUAGCUAGUCUAACC